rnacentral:rRNA from 1 species
CAGCCGUAAACAAUGUGCGUUAGGUGUGUCGGUAACCACGCGUUACUGAUGCGCCGAAGAGAAAUCGUGAAACGCACCACCUGGGAAGUACGGUCGCAAGGCUGAAACUUAAAGGAAUUGGCGGGGGGAGCACCACAACAGGUGGAGCCUGCGGUUUAAUUGGACUCAACGCCGGAAAUCUCACCGGAUAGGACAGACGUAUGAUGGCCAGGUUGAUGACCUUGCUUGACAAGCUGAGAGGUGGUGCAUGGCGUGUGACUGU